UCAUGCGAAGAGCCCCGUUGUGAAGCCCGAGAGUGAACGGAUUGCAACAGGUAGAUCUACAUUAAGAACUAUGCGUGAUGUUGUAAAACGCCCCACUUUCGACCGUGAAACAAGAUCAAGUUUAUUUGAUGUUAAGUCGAUUCCAAACGACUCCACUGGUAAUUAUAGAUCGCCUACAAGAAGACGCAGUCGAUCCCAAACCCGACGAUCCAGAUCUCGGUCCCGUUCUAGACGUCGCAAGUCAAGGUCUAGAUCUCCAAAGCGUAAAAGGUCCCGUACUAGAUCUCCAGUGCGGCGAAGAAGAAGCUAUUCAAGAUCACCAAGACGCAGUAGUAGACGAAGUCGCAGUCCAUCUCGUUCAAGAUCUCCCAGACGAAGCAGUAGACGAAGUCGAAGUAGAUCUCGCUCAAGGUCUCCAAAACGUCGAAAAUCAAGAUCUCGUUCCAGAGAUCGACGCAAAAAACGAAAGUCUAUUUCCAAAUCUUCAUCGCGGUCUCCUAGAAGACGAUCCAGAAAAAAAUCAAAGUCAAGAUCUCGUUUUCCCGCAAGAAGAAAAUCCCGGAAAUCAACUUCCAAGUCUCCUGAUAGAUCAUCCUCCAAGAAAAAGAAGAAAGAGAAAGAUCGAGAAAGAGAGAAAAAGGAAUGAAAAAGCAAUAAAAAAGAGGAAGGAGAAGUCAAAGAAGAAAAUAAAGACAAGGAAGCAUAGGCUGAUGACCAAGGUAAUGCAGAAUUUGAUAAAUAUUCUCAUUUUGAGACUACACGUUCUUUGGAAAUGUGUUCGAAACAUCUUGGAAUUACUUGACUAUUUACUUGUUGUAUUAAUUCACAGCUUACCCACUAGCUUAAAUAGCCCCACAGUCAAAGACCAUGGACACUCAAUUAGAGUGAAUUCAUACUUGGGCAUUAGGUGCUUUUCGACACUAAGUUAAAGCGGUGUUUCUUCAGAUUGAGCAUGUGUCAACAUGUGUCAGAUAUAAUAAAAAAAGUAGCUAGGAAAAGUUGUUUGCAAGCUGGUCACUUAGUUUUCCUCAAUACCAACUUAAAAGAAUGCAUUGGGGUGAAUAAUUUUUUUUUAUGUUAUAAGCUAAAGUUACUCAUUCACAAACAAAAAGCACUGGUAUUUUGUAGCACGUUUUCAAAAGCAUUGACGAGUGCUUACAUUUUGGUCUGUUUAAAAGUAGAAGUAUUUGAUGCUGCUUUUACAAUGCCGGAUCAGAUGUUUAAAAUUAUUGUUUAGUUUGUGCAUGCAGUAUUUUUUACCAUUGAUAAUCCUCUCAACAUAUAUAACUUGAUUCAUUUUUUUUAAAGUCAGCAAUGCAUUUCCUUAGGAAAAAGAAGAAAGAGAAAGAUCGAGAAAGAGAGAAAAAGGAAUGAAAAAGCAAUAAAAAAGAGGAAGGAGAAGUCAAAGAAGAAAAUAAAGACAAGGAAGCAUAGGCUGAUGACCAAGGUAAUGCAGAAUUUGAUAAAUAUUCUCAUUUUGAGACUACACGUUCUUUGGAAAUGUGUUCGAAACAUCUUGGAAUUACUUGACUAUUUACUUGUUGUAUUAAUUCACAGCUUACCCACUAGCUUAAAUAGCCCCACAGUCAAAGACCAUGGACACUCAAUUAGAGUGAAUUCAUACUUGGGCAUUAGGUGCUUUUCGACACUAAGUUAAAGCGGUGUUUCUUCAGAUUGAGCAUGUGUCAACAUGUGUCAGAUAUAAUAAAAAAAGUAGCUAGGAAAAGUUGUUUGCAAGCUGGUCACUUAGUUUUCCUCAAUACCAACUUAAAAGAAUGCAUUGGGGUGAAUAAUUUUUUUUUAUGUUAUAAGCUAAAGUUACUCAUUCACAAACAAAAAGCACUGGUAUUUUGUAGCACGUUUUCAAAAGCAUUGACGAGUGCUUACAUUUUGGUCUGUUUAAAAGUAGAAGUAUUUGAUGCUGCUUUUACAAUGCCGGAUCAGAUGUUUAAAAUUAUUGUUUAGUUUGUGCAUGCAGUAUUUUUUACCAUUGAUAAUCCUCUCAACAUAUAUAACUUGAUUCAUUUUUUUUAAAGUCAGCAAUGCAUUUCCUUAGGAAAAAGAAGAAAGAGAAAGAUCGAGAAAGAGAGAAAAAGGAAUGAAAAAGCAAUAAAAAAGAGGAAGGAGAAGUCAAAGAAGAAAAUAAAGACAAGGAAGCAUAGGCUGAUGACCAAGAGCUAAACAGCCUACUCGCAAAAAUCUACACGUUUGAAGAAG